rnacentral:rRNA from 1 species
UACGUAGGGUGCGAGCGUUAAUCGGAAUUACUGGGCGUAAAGCGUGCGCAGGCGGUUCGUUGUGUCUGAUGUGAAAUCCCCAGGCUUAACCUGGGAACUGCAUCCGAUACUGGAUGGCUUGAAUCCGGGAGAGGGAUGCAGAAUCCCAGGUGUAGCGGUGAAAUGCGUAGAUAUCUGGAGGAACACCUGUGGCGAAGGCGGCUUUCUGGGCCUUACCUGACGCUGAGACGCGAAAAGCGUGGGGGAGCGAACCGG